rnacentral:misc_RNA from 1 species
UCCGGUUUGUCACCGGCAGUCUCGCAUGAGUCCCCAACUAAAUGCUGGCAACAUGCGACGGGGGUUGCGCUCGUUGCGGGACUUAACCCAACAUCUCACGACACGAGCUGACGACAGCCAUGCACCACCUGUGACGGUGCCCCGAAGGACACCAUGUCUCCAUGGCUUUUCGGGUGAUGUCAAACCCAGGUAAGGUUCUUCGCGUCGCAUCGAAUUAAAGAACAUGCUCCGCUGCUUGUGCGGGCCCCCGUCAAUUCUUUUGAGUUUUAGCCUUGCGGCCGUACUCCCCAGGCGGAACACUUAUCGCGUUGGCUUCGGCACGGACAGAUUCGACUCCGCCCACACCUAGUGUUCAUCGUUUACGGCGUGGACUAC